AGAGUUUGAUCAUGGCUCAGGAUGAACGCUAGCGGCAGGCCUAAUACAUGCAAGUCGAACGGAAGUAAGUAGCAAUACUUACUUUAGUGGCGCACGGGUGCGUAACGCGUAUGCAACCUACCUUUUACUGGGGGAUAGCCCGAAGAAAUUCGGAUUAAUACCGCAUAAGAUCACCAGCGGGCAUCUGGUGGUGAUUAAAGAUUUAUUGGUAAAAGAUGGGCAUGCGUGACAUUAGCUAGUUGGUUGAGGUAACGGCUCACCAAGGCGACGAUGUCUAGGGGUUCUGAGAGGAUGAUCCCCCACACUGGUACUGAGAUACGGACCAGACUCCUACGGGAGGCAGCAGUAGGGAAUAUUGGGCAAUGGAGGCAACUCUGACCCAGCCAUGCCGCGUGCCGGAUGAAGGCCUUCGGGUCGUAAAGCUCUUUUACCAGGGAUGAUAAUGACAGUACCUGGAGAAUAAGCUCCGGCUAACUCCGUGCCAGCAGCCGCGGUAAUACGGAGGGAGCUAGCGUUGUUCGGAAUUACUGGGCGUAAAGCGCACGUAGGCGGCUAUUCAAGUCAGAGGUGAAAGCCCGGGGCUCAACCCCGGAACUGCCUUUGAAACUAGGUAGCUAGAAUCUUGGAGAGGUCAGUGGAAUUCCGAGUGUAGAGGUGAAAUUCGUAGAUAUUCGGAAGAACACCAGUGGCGAAGGCGACUGACUGGACAAGUAUUGACGCUGAGGUGCGAAAGCGUGGGGAGCAAACAGGAUUAGAUACCCCCGUAGUCC
rnacentral:rRNA from 1 species